rnacentral:lncRNA from 1 species
AGAACACAUUGCAAGUGACAGAAAACUUCUGAGCACAGAGCUGAAGCUUUUCUUCUUAAAUGCUUCUAGAAGAAUCCUCUCUUAUACGAGAGGUGGAAACAGUAGUAAGAAGGAGAAAAGGAGAGCAUUUAAUUCGAACACCCUUGGGUGUUCUUAAAGUCUCUUAAAAUUCUUGGUUGAUACUCAUUUAACCAGAAGUGACCUUUGGAAGUGGGAUGGUGUCUUGGUGUUUGUGGAGUCAGCUGUGUUGUGGGAAGUUGCAAUUGCAUCAGAGGAAUUUAAUGAGCUCAGCUGUGGCAAAAGCAGGGGCCAAAAAAUCACGGAGUCAUCUAUACCCAGAGAUUAAAAAGAUAAAACAAAACACCUCAAUGGAUUCCAGCCCUUCUUGACCAACAGUGUGGUCUCAAGCACAGUGGGAGAUGUGGGAAGCCUUCAGUGGCUUCCAGUUUCACACUCCAAUUCCUUCCUUCUCCUUUCAUCACUGAAAAAAAAGACCUAUUCAGAGAGGUUGUAUAUUCAAUCAAUACACAUUAUAGAUGCUGUCUGAGAGGGUUUUAGGUGUUGGAAAUACUUCAAGGGACCAGUUAGGUCCUUCCCUCAUGGACAGUUCUUUGAGGAAAGACAGAUACUAAUGGGCAAAGACAAAUAAUAUGUAAUAUAACUUUAGUUUGUGUGUUAGUUACUUGUUGUCUCUGUAAUAAACUCCAACAAACUUAGUGGUUCAAAACAACAUAAACGUAUAUCUUAUAUUCUGGAAGUCAACAGUCUGGUGUGGGUUACAAUCAAGGUGUUGGCAGAGCUAGGAAACUCCAGGGAGACCCUGAUUCAUUGCUUUUUCCUGCUUCUGGAAAAUUCUCAUCUUCUUAGCUCUUCCCUUUCUCGUUACUGACCUCUGUUUCCAGUGUCACAUGUCCUUCUCUGACUUUGACCCCUCUUCCUUCCUCUUACAAAGAACCUUUGGUCCCAUUGAAUAGUGAGGAUAAUGACCCUGACUUGAGAGCCUUCAUUUAACCACACCUGCAGAGACCUUUUCUGGGUAAGGUGGCUGUGUCAGUCAGCCUUUCAUCAUGGUGACCACACUACCUGACAAGAACAACUUAGAGAAGGAAAGUUCAUUUUGGUUCAUGGUAUCAGAGAUUUGGUCCAUGAUAGGUCAACUCCAUUGCUCUGGGCCCAAGGCCAGGCAGAACAUCAUGGCUGAGGGUGUGGUAGAGAGGAAAGCAGCUCACCUUCUGGCAGCCAGGAAGCAGAGCGAGGGUAGGAAGGGAACCCCCAAAGGGAAGGGGAACCCACCUCCAAAGACCCACUUCUUCCAGCUAUACCCCACCUGCCCACCGCUACCACCCAGUUAGUCCAUUCAAACCAGGAGGGACUGCUUAGGUGGCGGCUCUCCCAAUGCAAUCAUUUCCCUGUGCAUAUUCCUGCACGAACACAGGAGACUUUGCAGGAUAGUGCAUAUCUAAACCAUAACUGUAGCAGAGUCACAGAUCCAGAGUUUGGGAUGUGGCAGCCAUUUGCUGCCUGCUGUAGGUAGCUGUAAGUGUUAUGAAGAAAAAUAAAGCAAAGUGAAGGAAGAGAGAAUGCAAGGGGAAGAAGAGGCCUGGGUGGUGGGAAUGCUGGUGUCGGAGCAUGAAGUGUGGGCAGGAGAAAUGGCAAAGCCCAAGGAAGGACUUGUAGGUAGAGGGGACCGGGGAGGCACAGGCCCUUGUAGGGAGUCAGCCUGGGCCAUUGGAGAGACAGAGAGAAGGGUGGGUGCUGAGCAGAGUGGGCAAGAAGAAGAGUGGGAGACAACCAGGAAGGCGGGGCCUCAGGUGGGGCUUCACCAUUCAUGCUGAGGGCUUCUGAUCUUAUUCCAAGAGUAACGAGGACGUGUUGGUCAAGGAAAUGACGGGGUCUGUUGUAGUGACGGAGAGGACCCAUCUG